rnacentral:rRNA from 1 species
AACGAACGCUGGCGGCAGGCCUAACACAUGCAAGUCGAGCGGACCUUUCGGGGUCAGCGGCGGACGGGUGAGUAACGCGUGGGAAUAUGCCCUUCUCUACGGAAUAGUCCUGGGAAACUGGGGGUAAUACCGUAUACGCCCUUUGGGGGAAAGAUUUAUCGGGGAAGGAUUAGCCCGCGUUGGAUUAGGUAGUUGGUGGGGUAAUGGCCUACCAAGCCGACGAUCCAUAGCUGGUUUGAGAGGAUGAUCAGCCACACUGGGACUGAGACACGGCCCAGACUCCUACGGGAGGCAGCAGUGGGGAAUCUUAGACAAUGGGGGCAACCCUGAUCUAGCCAUGCCGCGUGAGUGAUGAAGGCCUUAGGGUUGUAAAGCUCUUUCAGCUGGGAAGAUAAUGACGGUACCAGCAGAAGAAGCCCCGGCUAACUCCGU